AGCGUAGACGGCAAGGCAAGUCUGAUGUGAAAGCCCGGGGCUCAACCCCGGGACUGCUUUGGAAACUGUUCUGCUAGAGUGCUGGAGAGGUAAGUGGAAUUCCUAGUGUAGCGGUGAAAUGCGUAGAUAUUAGGAGGAACACCAGUGGCGAAGGCGGCUUACUGGACAGUAACUGACGUUGAGGCUCGAAAGCGUGGGGAGCAAACA
rnacentral:rRNA from 1 species